AUUAUUAACAAAAAAAAAAAGCUAUCAUUUUUCUCUUCCCCUUCACCGAAAUAUGCAGCAAAGAAAGGGUUUUGAAGCUGGAAAAUUUCAGCAACAUAUUUCCCUUGCUUAUGACGAAAAUUGAGACUUGGACCUAGAACGGAAAGAAAUCGAUUUAUGGACGAGUAUGUCCUUUUUACCUUUGUGGUAUCGAGAGUUUCCAGGUUAGCUCGGGUUGGAGGCCGUCAGAGAUAUUAUCACCCUAUCGAGUUAACGUUAUCGAAGUAAGUAAACUCAAGUGAUUCGAGUCUAUGGCAUGUAUAGGGUUUUAAUGUGAGUAUGUAAUAUUAUGAUUUAGCCAAAGGCAUUGGCUUGUUAUUAAGGUAGUAUUAGUCAUGUAAAUUGGCCUAUGUCGGCUAAUGACGUUAUGGGCCCAUAUGAUUAUUCUUAUGCAUGUAUGUUAUUAUCUCUUGUGAUGUGGCUUACAACAUGUAUGCCUAGAGAUUGAAUUGAGAUUCAUUGAUGAGCUAGUAACUAAUGCAGGAUUAAGUGAUUGGUAAAUAGUUAAUAAUGCUUCAUGAAUGGUUUGUGAUGUAAUGAUAGUUAUGUCUAGUAUGUGGUAAUGAUAUGGGAAAAUUCUAUAAUAUUUAUUGCAUAAGAAAAUAACUUGAGCAUAA